rnacentral:rRNA from 1 species
GUAGGUGGCAAGCGUUGUCCGGAAUUAUUGGGCGUAAAGCGCGCGCAGGUGGUUCUUUAAGUCUGAUGUGAAAGCCCCCGGCUCAACCGGGGAGGGUCAUUGGAAACUGGGGAACUUGAGUGCAGGAGAGGAAAGUGGAAUUCCACGUGUAGCGGUGAAAUGCGUAGAUAUGUGGAGGAACACCAGUGGCGAAGGCGACUUUCUGGCCUGUAACUGACACUGAGGCGCGAAAGCGUGGGGAGCAAACAGGGAUUAGAUACCCUGGUAGUCCACGCCGUAAACGAUGAGUGCUAAGUGUUGGGGGGGUUUCCCGCCCCUCAGUGCUGCAGCUAACGCAUUAAGCACUCCGCCUGGGGAGUACGGCCGCAAGACUG